rnacentral:rRNA from 1 species
CUGCUGCCUCCCGUAGGAGUCUGGGCCGUGUCUCAGUCCCAGUGUGGGGGGCCUUCCUCUCAGAACCCCUACGCAUCGUCGCCACGGUGGGCCGUCACCCCGCCGUCUAGCUAAUGCGCCGCAUGCCCAUCCGCCACCGGAUCGCUCCUUUGGCCACCGGAGGAUGCCCUCCGGUGGCGUCACGGGGUAUUAGGCCGCGUUUCCGCGGGUUAUCCCCUGUGGCGGCCAGGUUGCAUACGUGUUACUCACCGUGCGCCGGUCGCCGG